CCCCGCCCCAACCUCCCCAGCCCUUCCGGCCCGGCUUCUGCGCAGGAGGAUUCUUUCUGCGCAGGCGCGCAUGCCGGGCCGGCUAUUUGAGUGCUGUGGGAUUGUGCUCGUGACCUCCGUUUUUUGUCUCUUCACCUUCAAACGUCUCUUCUUGACUCCGGCGCUUCAGUUCUUUGCGUUUAAAUGAGUCCUGGAUCUCUUGCGGCAGGAUCUAGAAGCAGUGGGAGCUACUGACAGCUGGUAUUGAAGAAGAUCAGCACACUCUACAAGGCAACUACCUCAGGGAAGGCCAUGACAGAUUUUACAGGUCCCUGCAGGAGCCAUGGUGCAGGUGUUAUGGGAGCCACAGUGCUGCUUAUGCAUUUGGCCCAGGACUCAAAGAAACCAAAGGUCCAGGAGUUCUGAAAAAGGUCCAUAUCUGGCUUUUGCCCUGAUUUAAGGUGAGCCAGUAAAUCGUCAACAAUGA